UAUCUAUAAGGCACAGCCGCAUAAGCUAGGGUUCACUCAAAAUCUCUCACCCUGCUCUGCUGCUCAUCUUCCUUUUCCAGUAAAGCUGAGACGUUGUAAAAGACUAUAACCUGUCACUCUGACUCAUUAUCUUCAAUUCUACCAACAUGUGGCCUUUUUCUAUAGGUCCUUUCAGAUUACAUUUUAUCUCUCGAUGAACUCAACGGGCUUAUCUCUCCAACUUAUCUCCUCUCUCCCUUUCUUCGGUCCUCUCUCCUCUGCCUUGCUCUCUGUUACCCAAAAUCUCCGUCUUUUGACAAUGGGGCAUAUUCGAAACGCCUAUCGAUAGAAAAGAAUUCGAAACGCUUGAAUCAAAGGUCUUACGCAGCUACGCUUCUCAAUCCUUCCUGUUUCAUUACUUUCUCUCUCCUAUUUUGAAAAGACGUGUUGGUAUGGCUCGGUGGAUGUAGCUGAAAUAAGUGUGGAGAAGCAAGGAACACAAUCACUAAGGAUGGUUGACGUUGUUGUCUCCUUCAUAGUGGAUAGACUUGGUCACCUUCUCAUUGAACAAGUUAUUUUUUUACGAGGAGUGAAAGAUGAUGUUUUAUGGCUGAGAGGCCAAUUGCAGUAUAUGUUGUGCUCCUUCGAAGAUGCAGAAGAAAAGUAAGAUGUCGACAAUCGGAUGUGCAAGUGGAUAACCGAUAUCAGAGAUGUUGCUUACGAGGCCGAGGAUAUUGUUGACAACUUCAUCCUUAAAGUAGAAGUAGGGACUCCAAAGAAGAUGGGGUUAAAAGAUUGCGUUAAAAGUAUUUUUGCAUUUGCAACAAACAUGCUAGCAUCAUCCAACGAGCAAAUCUUUGUGAUAUUGGAUAGGAAAUGAACACGUUGAAGACCAAGCUCACUCAGAUCAAACAAAGUCGAGUAAUUUUUGGUAUAAGAAGUAUUGACGAUGCAAGAGAAGGAUCAGACGACAUGAAUACGAUAGAAAAUUGGCUACGAAGAGAACGCCCAUAUAAGGACAACGAGCAUGUUGUAGGCUACAAGGAGGAUGCUGACAAAUUGACGUCUGAACUUAUCAAGGAAGUGAAAGAUCGGUAUAUGAUCUCAAUCGUUGGCACCGGAGGCUUGGGUAAGACAACUAUAGCUUGGAAGCUUUACAACACUCUUAGUCGUACACAAAAAUUUGAGUGCUAUGCUUGGCUUUCUGUGUCCACUGAUUACAAAAUCCAAGAUCUUCUUCUAUCAACAAGAAAAUCUUUCAAAAGGCCGAUCACCAAAGAGGAAUUAGAGUUUCUAGAGAAGAUCCGGAGCCUCAUUUGCGUGAUUUCUUGAAAGGAUGUCAAUAUUUGGUGGUGCUUGACGAUGUAUGGGACAAAAAUGCUUGGCCAAGCUGGAUGAUAGCGUUUCCAGAUGAGAAUAAUGGAAGUAGAGUAAUCAUGACAACCUGAAACAAAGUUGUUGCCGAGGAAAGCAAUGAGAGAACAUACGUCCAUGAGCUACCAUUUUUAAAGGACGAAGAAAGUUGGGAAUUGUUUUGUAGUAAAGUAUUUCCUAACUACAACAACGAGGUUGGAGACAAAAAAAAAAAGUCGUUGCCCUCCAUGCUUAGAGAGUUGGGCGAGAGAGAUGGCCAGCAAAUGUCGUGGCUUACCCCUCGCCAUAGUCGUAUUGGGUGGUGGGUGGUCUACUACGAAGAAAAGAUCCUGACGAGUGGCCAAUGUUCAAAGAGCACAUGUGGCGCCAUGUAAGGGAUCAUGACUCAAAUCGUGUUCAACAUUUAUUGGCUUUAAGUUUCAAUGAUUUGCCUUAUC